ensembl:lncRNA
GGAGUGUGUCCUGUUGUGCGUUGGUGUGUGUGUGUGUGUGAUGGGUUUUUAAGGAUCAGGAGUGUGUCCUGUUGUGCGUUGGUGCGUGUGUGUGUGUGUGUGAUGGGUUUUUAAGGAUCAGGAGUGUGUCCUGUUGUGCGUUGGUGUGUGUGUGUGUGUGAUGGGUUUUUAAGGAUCAGGAGUGUGUCCUGUUGUGUGUUGGCGUGUGUGUGUGUGUGAUGGGUUUUUAAGGAUCAGGAGUGUGUCCUUGUGUCCUGUUGUGUGUGUGUGUGUGUGUGUGUGUGAUGGGUUUUUAAGGAUCAGGAGUGUUUCCUGUUGUGCGUUGGUGUGUGUGUGUGUGUGUGUGUGUGUGUGUGUGUGAUGGGUUUUUAA